AUGGAACCCUGGGCAUUAGGAGCGGAUCUGAAUUUCCUAUCUGUCAUUUUUUUUCACCCUCCCUCUCUUCCUCCACACCCCUGCCGCCACCACAUUCGUUCAGUGUUUUUUUCUCCCCCCCUCUCCCUCUCUCUCUCUCUUUCUCUCUUUCUCUCUCCCCUCCUUCUUCUCCGCCAUUACCCUUGCUGAUUGCAAUCUUUAAGCGCCAUUGGGCCCACUGCUUCUGCAGUUUUUAAUCUGUCUUUAAUCCCAUAGAUUUUAAAUAUUCCCCAGCUCCCGGAGACUGGAGGCAAUUAACUGCCCUUCUGAUGCUCUCCUUAUCAGUUGCCUCCUUGUAUCUCUCUGAAGCAGCCUCAAGACACUGCCAGAGCUGACAAAUAAUACCGCCAUUUACCGCCGAGCAUCCUCGGGGACUGGAAGGGAGCGCGCGGCGCAGCCACCGCCGCAUUCUAAACAGGUAUUUGGUAAACAUAUCAUACAGAGGAGAAAGAAGAGGAAAUAUACUGCAACAACACUCCCAAAAGCAAUGUAUGUUUGUCUGUGAGAGUGAAUGUGUGUUCUCCCUCAGACCUGAGACAAAAGACUGUCCUCAAGCCCUGUGCUGAUGUGAGGAGGCUGCUGCUGCUGCUGCUGCUGCUGCUGCGCUGUAUGGGAUGCAUAGCCUGCUGCGUGGAAACUAAUACAUACAAUCUGCAGUCUUCAUGCAGGGAGGAAAUGCAGUGAAUAGGACAUAUUUAAGACACAUGGCUCCCUAUCACUGCUUGUUAUGUGAGAGGAGAGAACAAAAGAGAGGAUAGUUGGAAAGGGUAGAAAUUAAACCGGAGCAGAUAAAGAACGUGAAGACGGAAAGGGUGCUGCGGAGGAUCUAUACGGACUAAAACACGAAACACCAGAAAUAUACGUAUCAGAGACAGAUGCCCUGACAUCUGCAACGACUUUUAUCAUUGAUUUCUUUAUGUUUUUACUUCCACGACCGUACAAUCAUGCACAAUAGCUCGAGUAUGACUCAGGGACUCGCACUUCCAAACUGACAGAGGAAAGAAAGGUCAGAGGAUGAGUACGGUGUAUUAGACCCAGAUGUAAGCCAUCUGAUAGGCUUGAUUACAAAUUGCUAAAGUAAAGUUUAGAGAGUAAAAAGCUCAACUUUAAGGUAGGAAUCAUGUCUGCGAGUUAAUUCAACAAGAUAAAAAAGCAUGUUUAACGUCGAAACUUUGCUCUACAUGAACACCAAACAGAAAAAAAAGUAAUGACUGAGACGUAAGUGAAAGAAGCAAUGAAGGUAACAAACACUGAUCCAGCUGUUUGGGACUCUUUUUUUUUGGCCUUUCCCACAUUUGUUUAAUUUUCCUGACAUUAUAGAGUUAAAAGUCCCUCAAAAUAAUUCAGUUUUCUUGUUCAGAGGCCCCCAAAGACACCACUUCUCUGCGCCAGAAGUUUCUGAUUUAGCAGAUCAUAGUUAGGUCUGCCAUUGAUAAGUUCAGUCCUCUGGGGUUUCCAGAAAUGGUCAAGCUUUGUGCUUUAUCCCAUCUGUCCAACAAUGAAAUGGUAAGAAUAAUGUUUUUUUGUGUUGGUGCAGCAUUAAAAUGACAUUUGGAUGACAAGAUAAGAUAAGAUAAGAUAAGAUGAGAUAAGAUAACUGAGCAGAAAGAAUGAGUCAUUUAAGCUCUUGUGAGGAACUUUUGGUUUGUGCCAAUUUUGGCGCCCCCUGUGGACAGUCUUUACUUUUCUUAGAGUCUGCUUACAAAAAUUUAGAUAAAUGCAAAAUUUAACCAAAAUUUAUACACUUAUUUCAUUGUCAUUGUCCUCUUACUGCUCAAAAAUCCUCCAAAAGUUUGAAUUUUUAGAUCAGACAUGUUGGUUUUUCCUUUAAGUCUCUAUUGAACCAUAUUUAAGAUCAUUUUAUGUCUCACACAGGUCAUCAUGACCUCAGCUACGUGGAUGGGGUUCCCAUCAGAUGGUCGUGGUUUCAGUCGUUGCGGUCCUCACAAUGACACAACGGUAUCAGUGAUGUCUGUGGGAUGAGUGAAGAUGACGAAAUCUCCUGUUUGAUGCCAAACUCGCCUCAACAAUAAUGGACCUUUUAUUGUUCCUCUCUGGUAAGACUCAGUGCAUCUUUGUCUCAUCAUUUGAACAUCAUACUUAGACCUGAAAUGUUUUAAGUCAUCCAAACAUUUUGGGUUCAGGGGAAAGGGUCGGACUCCACAAAAGUCACUGUUGCGUUGACUUUUCCCACCUCUCUUACAAUACUCAAGAUCUCACAAAAAUUAUAUUACACUCAAUCAAAAAUCAUUCUUUUCCUCUGAGACCACAAUCAGCUGCAUUUCAGCACAAUAAGUCACUUGUUAUGGGGAUCUUGAUGGGACCUGGGAUGGUUAUAUACAGUCCUGACCUUUGCAAAAUGGGCGGCCAAGCUUUCCUCUUUCUGCUGAGGAAAGUUUACAUUGUCAAAAACAUAAAGUAAGCAGUGAUUGUGACAGUGACCCAGCUGUUCAAUCAUUUUGUGCUUCUUUUAGGUCCUUUUUUUUGUCUUUAUUGUCCUGCAAAGCUUUAAAAAAGACACAAUUAGUCGAUUCAGAGACCUUUUGUUGUCCUGUCAAGACACCACUUGCAGAUCCAAGUGAGUCAGUCGGUCUCAGUUCACACAAGAUGGCAAAGGUUUCCCCCUUUCCUGCGAUCUGUCCAAUCACUCCUCUUGAUAAUGCGUCCUAUGGCAGCGCGAUGAAUGCAAUCACCAGCCCCGAGCACCACAAGCCUGCUAACAACACCACAAGACACUGCGGCUAAGCCAAACCCGGUGGGGCUCAGCCAAACCGACAGAUAACCAUCAGCUAAGAGCUUUGUGACAUCAUCAGACAGAGACGGCUACUGACUCCAUGCCAGGGUUAGAGCGCCGCUAAUCCAAACCACAGACUACAAUAACACAGACAGAGACAAAAGCAGGGAAUGUGCAUCAUUACAAACACUCUUAAACUCUUAAGCUCUUUGUUGACCCGGACAACACGAACGCUGUAAUCGAGCUUGUACCUUUUUACGGUCACUGCUCAACUGGCAAGAUCGGAUCUGGUGAUGAUUUUCCCAGUUUGUUUCAGAUAAUUUCUGCUCCGGUUGACUCUACAAACCUUCAGACUCCACCUUUAUGUGUUGCUCUGAUACUCAAGGCAAGCUAACCCUUUCCCUGACAGCCGCUGGCAUUAUCUCCCCUUAGUGUUGGAUUACAGUGCACACAGGCUUCUCACCAUUAAAAUCACAUUCAAUUACUGUGAGGCAGGGAAGAUUGGCUAGACAGCAGCUCUGCUAAUGGGGAAGGUCGUCAAAUUAUGAUUGCAAAUGCGCUGCAUAUGCUGGCACAUGUAUAUAAACAGAGAUAAUUAAAAAGAAAUCUCCUUUGCAGACUUUCUGAUGCAUAUUCCGGUCCUGUUUUCAUGGGAUCUGCCACCUCGAUGCAUUUUAUUUCUUGCGUUGGAGGAGUUAGGUUCUUCUCUCAACCUAAAAAAUGCAUCAUGGGAUCGUGUUCCUUUGGCCAGGCUUUCCCGCAGAUGUGAACAAUUCCGCCGCGAGCUUUAGCUUCAUUUGUGCACCGUCGCAUCGACAACGGGAUGACCUCCUUAUGGCUGUGCCUCAAAAUUGGAUAAGAGGAACUGACACUGUAGCAUGACUGCACUCAUUCAGUCCUUAUUGUGCAUAUUCUUUAAUCCACUCCCACAUGUGUACACUUGGUGCCUCUCUUUCUAUGUGUCUAUGCGUAUAUGUUUGGGUGGUUUGGGAGGUUAAGCUGGUACUGUUCUCGAAGCGUGGCCGAUACCGAUCCAGGGAACCGAGGGGUCUGAGGGGGCCAAGGGUCCACACAGCUCAGCCCACAAACUGGAGGCUGUGCCAGGCAGGAUGAAGGCCAAGAGUUUGGGAAGGGGGCUGGUGGUGGUGGCGGUGGCAGAAAGUGGGCCGGGAGUGAUUAAUCAGGAGAAAUAGGAAAAUUCCCAGUGGGCCGGGAUGGUCCACAGUGGGAUGGAUUAUAGUGAUGUUUUUUUAGAUUGUACAGUCUGCACAUGCCAAGGAUGGGUACUCCUUGUUUGAACAGUGUUCCACUAUGGACAGUAGGGGUGGGCGAAAAAGCAUAUAAACUAUAUUUCAUUUUUUGGGGGGGAGGUUGUAUGGAUGCUUGUCCGUAGUAAGUACAAGUGAAUGCUGGUCAGUUUAGUUCCUUUACUGAAAAAACGUUGGUAGAAACAGAACACUGCAUAUGCUACACGUUCAUUUUAAGAGACCCCAACUCAAGCAAACACCACAGUUUUAAGACCUUUUUCAGCACUUUCUUUUGCAGUGAGAAAGCUCAUUUGCUUUUGCACUGUUUUACCAACAGUUUCUCAUUAUAGGGGCUGAGCUAAUUAGCAUUCGUUAACUGUGGCUAGUAACCUUUUUAGUGGCGUGUAACUCCUUACUUCUAAAAUAGUGAAAUAUCCCUUUAAUUCUUUUUAGCGUCCUGUGUGUACGACUCUGAGCCACAUAAACUGCUUGUGUGUCAGCUGUAAGAUGUAUUUUAUGUAAACAUGCCUCCAUAUUUAAAAUAUGUUUUAAGACUUGCUAUUUUUAUGUAUUUGAGUCAAAAGAGGAUCAAAUCUAACCCCCCAAAAAUGAUUAUGAUGCUUCUAUUUUGACAUCUAACUGUCUUGCCUUAGGUUGUUUUGUUUCCAAAAUUAUCAAUAAUGCUUUUAUUUUGAAACGAGAAUAAGCCACUUCCUGUUGAGAAAGCAUUAGAAACAGUAUAAAUGUUUUUAUUUUAACUGUACUAGCUACCCCUGCUACUAGCAAUAGCAAUAAUCUCUAUGCCUAACAUUAGUUACCUCAGUUUGUUGUUACAUAAUAUAAUCUACAUUGUCCCUCUCAAGUAAACUGUAUGUAUAAAUGAGUGAUAGACUUUCCAAGGGUUGCUACAGCUAGCUAGCUAGUAUGCUUCUGCCUCUUCAUCCACACCCUUUUUGUAGCAGUGGCAACAAACAUAAACUACUGCUGCAACUUACAGUGGACCACUUAGCUUAAAGGGAUUAUCAUGUGCUAAUUUUGACCACAAUAUCGAUUUAGCAUUUUUAAGAAAAGUUACUGUCAAUACUGGUAUAUCACGAAAGUCUGUCACAGUUUGGGUUGACGGUAGAAAGUGUUUGUGAAAAGUUAGCCAAAACUUGGAAAUCUCGUAACUGGGGUCUCAACGAUAGCCUACUUGUUUUGUAAACAACCCAUCGACCUUACAAAGCGUGGCUGUAUGGCUACUAUUUUAUCAUACAUGAGCAAACAGUAGUCACAUGAACCUGAACAUAAUAGUUGAGGGGCAGAAAGAAAAACAGGAGCUUGGAUACAUAGAGCCAUACCAAGAGGUGUCAUCUAGAGGCGUUGCAGAUCAACACAGUUUGUCUUAAAGGUACAGUGCAUUCACAGAUCAGCUGGUUUAAGCCCGACUGUGACAUUGUACGUCUGUGCAUCAAGUUUUGUUAAAAAAUUCAUUUUAGAUAACAAGGUUGUAUUUUCUCUUUCUCUCUCUUUUACUUCAAGGUAAAGUGUUUUUUCUCCAGGGAAAGGCCGUGGACUUAGGUGAACUAGUUUGAGCUAUGUAACUCUCAGGCUGGAGAAAGAGUCCCAAUCCAGCCUGGCCCUGGUAGAAACCAAGGGGAACAACCACUCUCUUCCUUUUUUUAAACCAGCACUUGGGUCUCACCAGGGGGCCGCGCCGGAUUUCACACUUUUCUCCAGCGCGGCCCCUCGCAGAGACAUAAAAACAGAGGAAAACAACUCGAGUAAGCCUGAAACAAAAACAGAACUCCAGUGAAAAUAAAAGCCAUUUUUUUUAAAAACCAUCAAAAGAAUUUUCAAGUAAGGUGACUGCUCUUUUAUUUUUUUUUCAAGCUACAGGUCAGAGAUUGCAUUUUCAGCCCCGCCAAAAUAAAACACACUCCAGCACUUUGCCUCAAAUCCAAUCAAGCUCUGUUAUCAGCUCGCUUCUCAUCAAGGAGGGCUGCUGAUGGAGGCUGCUGGGUGGGAGGGUGGGAAGGUGGUGGGGGCUAAGCCGACCCCCCUCCUUCAACCCCAUCACCCAUCUACACCCCCCCACGCCAUGUACACACACAUACACACUCCCACCCGGAUCCACUCACCCCCUCCACCUCCCUAUACCCUCCUCCCUUGGUUUCCGUGGCGACUGCUAAGCCCGAAGUUACGGUAAAGCUGGUGUGCCGCUGAGCCCUGGGCAGGAUUUGUGACAGAGAAAUCACAUCAGCCUAUGCUGAUUAACAAUUCCAUUCCACCCUGAGAUUUAUAUAAAAAAACUAUCUUACAUUUGGCUUUUUAAUAGGAACGAUCGCUAUCUCAAAUUGAGUCCCUGCAAACUUUAAUAAAGGCUACAGGGUUGAGUGGCAUUUUGCAUGCUGAUUUAGGCCCGAUUGGCGGCUUUUGAUGAGAGGGAGGCUGCUAUGUAAAGCGGUGCUCCUAGCGCUUUUCCACAUCGCCGGUUCAAAUGCGGAAGGAUAAGAACAUGAAAAAAAAAUACCACUUCCAUCUGCAAUCUCCGGAUUUCUCUCUGCCUUCCUCCCUCACUCUCACUCUCUCUCUCUUUUUUUCAGAAAAUGAUUGACUGUUGAAUAUGAAUAAAUGGAAUAGAAUGAAGCAGGAAUAGAGAAAACUGAGCGCAGCAGACACAGAGAGAGAAGAGAGAGAGAGAUGGAGGAAGAGACAGAAUAAAAGAAAACCCUCUCCUGUCCUGGACUCCUCUUUUUUUUUUUCUGGAGGUGAAAAAUAAAAUCAUAAAGCCAAGGUUUUUAUGCUCUCCCAUUCUGACAUUUGGAGAAUGGUAUUAGUGUAGAAUAUUCACAGUGUACAGAAAGGACCACAGGCGCAAGAGAGAGCUGGAGAGUGUGAAUGUGUCGGGAGGAAGGGAUGAGGAAGGGGGGCAUCAAAUAAAAAAACAUCGCCAGAAACACUUAUCCCCUCCACCCCUCCGCUCCGGCCCCCACAAAUCUACAUCGGUAUUAAAAAACUAUUUAUAGUAAGAGUUCAGCUUAAUGGGAUAAUCAGCUCUAUUUGUAAAGAUAUUGGAUAAUCCCAAAUAGUUUAUAUGGGCAUAGAGAUUUAAAACAUUUUCAUUAGAUAUACUGCAUUCUGGGGGCAUUUCGGAUGUCUCUCAGUCCGCUGCGUAAGCCGACCAAGACAAAAGACGCUAGAAGGAGAAAUUCACAGGGGACGGCCUAAACUUAGCUUUUAUAAAACUUGAACUAACAGGAAGGAUGAGGAGGCUCCCCAAUUCAAAGGGAAUCCUGCUAUUUUCAAGCCUAUAGGACCUAUUUUUACACAAACUGAUAGGGGCCAGUACUUACUGUGGUUUCAUUUAUUGUGUCAAAUGUUUACAUUAACAGACGUCGAUGGUUUAUGAAUCACACGAUUCCUGUUUUUAAUUGAGUUUCACAUCUUCUUUUGGCAGCAUGUUUAGAAACCAAGGAGAGCAGUUUCUGGAGUUUUGAAAGUGAGAUGUAAUCUUGACAGUUGUUUUUUUAAGUCCAAUGACGCAUCAAAUUGUUUUUAGUGCAUAACAAGUCAGGACUAAGGCGGGCUGGUUUAGCAUGAGGAUGGAGCCUCACUGUUGGGAUACCUGCCCCUGAGAAAGUUGUUCUCUGGAUGGCAGCAGAUUUUGCUUCAAAUUCUUUAGAUACAAAACCGUAAAUACUUGUGUAUCACCACACCAUCACAGAUGCUGGCUUUAAACUGCACUGAUGACACGUCCCUGUAUCUUUAAGAGAGUAAGAUGUUAUGUUCAUGAUUUCCAAAAAGAAAAAGUAAGUUAUUUUGAGCCCAUGCAGCGGUUUCCACUCCAGAGUCAUGUGGGUUAUUAAUACAGUGCUGUUUGAGGGACUUUUGAUUUCAGUCUUGUCCUUUUUAUUUAUAGGUUUCUCUAGAUUCUCUGAAUCUUUUAGUGAUAUUUCAUAGAUGAUAAAAUUCUUAAAUCCUCUGCAACUGAGAUUGUCGAACGAUUUGCUCACGCAGUCUCUCAAAGAGUGGUAAACUCAGCCUCUCUGGGAUGCCUCCCCAUGCUUUGUAACAUAAUCAUAUAUGGGGUUUGAAUGAUUUAAAAACCAUCAGAAUCUGUUUUAAUCAACGUGUGACUCAAUGACAUUUUGGGAACUUGGGUUGGAUUCACACUCAGUAAAAGUGUUUGGUUUUGAUUAUAAUUUCUGCAGUCACAGAGUUUUAUUAUAAUGAGUAAGAUGUUUGUACUAAGAGCUAAAACAGCAGUAAUAGUGGCCUUUGAAAGUCACCUGACUGCACUGACAAGAACAGUGAUCAUAGUAUUUUUUUUUUAAAACAUUCAAAGAAAAAACUUCUUAUGUGUAAUGUAUAAAAAUUCUCUCAAAUUAGGUCUGAGAUGCAAAAGGUAAAGGCCUCCAGUAGCCUGCUUUACAGCUGCUUGCUGAUGCACACAAACCUCAAAAUGUAGUUUAAGAAUACCAGAAUUCUACCUUAAGUGUGCCCCCCUUUGACCUUCUUUGGUUUGUAAACCUGCAUCCCUGAUUCUGAACUGAUGCACACAUCCUGGCAGCGGAGAGAAAAAAAAAUAAAUCAGUUUUGCAGUCACUGGUCUCGUACAUGUAUGUUUUUCCACUCAAGUGAACAUGAUUUGUGUUUUAAUUAUGCUUUUUCCAUAGUUUUUUUUUUUUUCAUCAUAUUACAUGCAGAGUUUGGUAUUACACUACAUUCACUCUCGCCUUCACCAGAGCUACUGUUGAAAUUAAAAGAAAGAAGAAGAGGAAUAGAGAGAACGAGGGAGGAAUGGGGGAGUUAGGGGGAAGAGGGCCAAUGGAAGGCAUCCAACAGGAUCAGUGAGUAGGGCAUGCUGCCAAUGCCUGGCACACACACACACACACACACACACACACACACACAAACACAUGCACAAACUCACACAUACACACACAGUUUAUAUCUGCCCCGCCUCUCCCUGAAGGAUUCCCUCAUAUACCCCCUCAGGGUGGACCACAUCCACCAGGCAUCAUACCCCACCCCACUCUAUCAGCCAGUAAGUGAGCACUGGUCUUACUGGGAUGUCGUUUUGCAGGUGGAUGAUAGCUGAAAGGAAGGGGGGGGAAAAAGCAUGCAGCAUAACCAGCGUAACCCCAGCACAGGGCCAAGAAGAGUUAAUCCGCAGAUGCAGCGUUGUAAAGAACAUUUUAAUUUCUCACGACUAUCUGCCCGUCUUCAAGAAUAUCCAUUAGUCAUCUUGCCAAAUAUCUGAUGAGAGGACUGGCAUCAAAAUCAUCUCUGGAAGAUAGUUUUGUUGGCUGGGGAAGUUGGUUGAGCAUGCAGGAUUAAAAAAAAAAAAAAAGAUAUGACUGAAUAAUGAGUCCAAAAGUAAAAGAAAGGGAACUUUUAGGAUCUCGAACCAAAUCUGCCAGUUUUGUGAACGUGUGUGACGCAGAUGUUGAAUUGCGGGUUUGUGUGUGUCGUAAUCAUGAUGUCAAUAUAAUCAGGAUUAUGAUUUCUGUGAUAAUUGAGCAGCUCUACUUCUGUGUUGGGCAUUUCUACAUUUCAACCAAACUUUUUGCUGUUCUUAGCAUCUAAAAGUAUCAAACAGGAAAUACGUCAGUCCGAAUGCAAGAUGUCAAAAUAAAAGCAUCACAGAGGAACUUUUUAUGUAGUGGCCUCUUGUCCAGUGAUAUAGCAAAACCAAGUUUGGACAUCAUGAUAGUGGUGGGGUCGAAAUGUGAAUUUGUCACAGCGUUAUCUGGAACGCCAAUUCCUACCAGAUCCAUUUGUGAGGCGACUUUGGUGGUGGAUUACGGAUUGCAGGAAUCACGAGAACUCACAAGAACCCGCAGAUUCACAUGCAAUUGUGUGAUAGCAAUUUUUCUUUAGCCACAUAGGCUAACCAUAUAAGCAAUAAACUGUGGCCUUCCAGAGGUGUCAUCAGGGUUAAAUGCUGUCUUAAAACCUUUCACUUGUUCGUCCGGCAAUCCACAGUGGAACGAAAAAAGUCGGUGGAAAUUGACACAUUAACUUGAAUGGUUACGAUCAGCUACGAUGGGCGGAUAUGCCAUUUUUGUAGCCGUUCUGGAUGCGGUGGAAAUUGGGGGUUAGUCUAGACACUUCAAACCAAUCAGACUUCAAAGAACCAAUAAAAAGUUGCAGUUUCGUCAUUUUCUGCAGCAUCAAAACAAAACAUGCACCACAGCGGGACCCAAAAGUAACCUGACCCCUCUCUCUUAAUGUGUGUUUGUACUCUGGGUCAUGGAUUUCUCAUCUGUCAGGGGUUAAGUGAAAGGGUUCUUGUGGGUUCACACACACACUCAAACACACAUACACCCCUCCUUAAACUGGCCCAGGACCCUGUUGGUACUACCCCCCCUCACCUCCCGUACCUUCCCUCCCUGGCCAGUGCUCUCUUCUGGCCCUGAUAAGAUGCUAUCGCUAGCCCUCUAAGCACUUGAGAGGCACUUUAGGAGAUCACUGGAGCCAUUACCAUGAAAAGUAAAAGAUACAGGCUAUAUUGAUGCCAGAUUAAUACUGACCAACAUGUUAUUGAUUUCCUCCCCCCUCUUUCCUCAACCCUAUCCCCUUUUUACUCUCCCUCUUUUUCUUCUUCUCCGGUCUGGACCUCUGGCGGCGAUCUUAUUUUCUGAUGGAGCAAUGUUUUGUGGCCCUCCUCCUCCUCCUCCUCUUGGUCGGUGCUGGGCUACUAUCUACGGUUUCACAGGGCCAUUCUUUAAAAGGCGCAGAGCAAAGGCUCGCCGUUAUCUGCAGAUGUUAUUCAAUUGUUACAGGACAAUCUGGGCCAUUAGCCGGCUGUGUUAAAUAAUGCAUCCGCUUUUAAAGGGGACCUUAUCUCUUCUUUGCGUGUGUGUUUUUUAACAUUAUUAGUAUAGGAGUGUAAUGAAAGGUCCCUGCCUGAUGGGCGCUGAUAUACCUCCAAGGUCCCUCUCUGUAUGAGCACCAGAAACAACAAUGCAUAAACAAACAGUGACCUUUUUAAUGAAGCCUGGUUUUAUCUGGUUUUAUUAAAAAGGACAACAAGAAGCGGAAACGCUUCAGACGAGAUAAAAAUGUAUUUAAAUGCGCUCGACUAAAGGCGCAGACAAUCGAUCACAAUGCAUAUACAGCCGCAUGGGAAAGGGAGAAAAGGACGAGGCAUAAAAGGCCGGUGUGUUGCUAUGAGACACGAAAGGGAGGAAGCAAAGGAAUGAACCUGAUGGAGGACGUAAAAAGAAAAUGCGAGGGAAAGGCUGGAUGGAUGGAGGAAAGAAAGGAGGGAGAGCGAUAACCGCAAUGUCUUCAGUCACAGAUUUACACAGGCCAUUGCACUCCCAUUCUCCCCGGCUCUUAUCAAUGGAAUUAUUGAGCAGUGUGGCAUACCAUUAAAAAUUCUGCUUAGAUUUCACAAAAAUCAAAUUGCGUGAGGUAAUGAACGAAGGCUUUCAAAUGGACUCCUCACUGAUACCCAUUCUCGGCGGGCAGAAAUACAUCUCAGUCAUAAUUCGCUAUCUUUAUUGUACUCCUACACGGACUUAACUAUGCUGCCAAAGCAGGGGAAAGCUUAAUAAUCACUGUUGCCCUUGAUGUUAAAGGCCCGAUUUUGUGGCUAUUCCUUUCCACGCUUUUUCCUGCUCCCACGCUUUUCCCUGCUCCAUUUCUCCUUCUAUCUCCAUCUAUCUCCUUUUUUACCCUCCUUUAAUCUUCCUAUCCCUCCUUUCCUUCUUCUUCUUUGUCUCUAUUUCCCUGCAGGCCAAGGUCAGAUGGGUCUGCACAGGUUUUUCCUCACACAGAAUCCCCUCUCUGUCUUCCACGAAGAGCCAUUCGCCAACGGACUGUGAGCUAUCAAGCCGAGCGAGAAGCACAUUUCAAGGAUGUCAGCGCCCUUGUUUGGAUUGGCUCGUACUGCUCAAACAUGCAACUGAGGCUCAGACAGGCACACAACUUCAUUUGUCUUCUUAAUUUAUGACUCAGACACAUUAAAAUAAAAUCGAGCGAACAUAUAGAAGCGGAGCUGGAGGGGGUUAGUGUCUUUCUCACAGGCUAGACUGAAGACAAGGCCUCGUUGUCUGAAGUCUGACAAUAGAGUGAGGCAACGCCGGAGGAGUGGCGAGGCACGUAGAACCACUUUGUACCUUCCAAAAGCUGUAAAUCUCACCGCGCAGGAGGACUUUCAGAAGAGUUUGACACAUAAGAUGUUGACACUUGCAGACGUUAAGAUGUUAUUAGAGUAUUAACUCAAAAAGAAAAAAAGGGAUAGACUCCUUUUCUCGUCGUGUUUCUUCGCACAAAGGGGACUCGAGGUUGUUUCUUCAAAUGAAAGAGAAAAGAAUUGAAAGUAUGUAACUGCGUGUCAGGUUCAAGAACAUUCUUCAGGUGUGCAUUAGUGUUUUAACACCAUUAAUCACUGCCAGGUAUUUUUGACAAAUUAUUAUGCAGUAACAACCGUGAAGACGAAAUACUGACAGGUACUUUUCUUAAAAACUUAGAUAAAAUCUGGAAAAGAAGAAGAAGAUUCCUGUUUUGUAGGUAUUUUUGUCCACUGCAAAGUGAUUGUUUUGUCUCAGUUUGAGCCUCGCCGUUACUUAGGGUGACCAUACGUCCUCUUUUACCCGGACAUGUCCUCUUUUUGGUGGGCUGUCCAGGUUUGUCCGGCUAUUAUAAAAUCCUUUAAUUGUCUUCGGUUUUGUACAUAAGUUUCAAGUUUGUGUCACGUGGACUUAC